rnacentral:rRNA from 1 species
UACGGAGGGUGCAAGCGUUAUCCGGAUUCACUGGGUUUAAAGGGUGCGUAGGUGGGCAGGUAAGUCAGUGGUGAAAUCUCUGGGCUUAACUCAGAAACUGCCAUUGAUACUAUCUGUCUUGAAUACCGUGGAGGUCAGCGGAAUAUGUCAUGUAGCGGUGAAAUGCUUAGAUAUGACAUAGAACACCAAUUGCGAAGGCAGCUGGCUACACGAAUAUUGACACUGAUGCACGAAAGCGUGGGGAUCAAGCAGG